GAUUUCUUGCACACAAUAUUUGAAAUGUUCUGUCAAGUGCUUUAUUACAGCUGCAGCAGUUGUGAAAGCGCUACAUAAAGCUGCAUUGUAUUGUAUUCUCUUUAGCGUUGCUCCAUCUAUUGGAUGCAUAAUACAGCCGCAGCCACUAUAGUAGCAUGUAUGUUGCAGUGUGCCCUCUAUAUGAAAACAUCGUGAAAAUACGGUAUUCAUCAGACAUGCGCCUUAUACUCCAAAGUGCCUUCUAGUGCGGAAAAUAUGGUAGUUAAAACCAAACUAGUUAUGAAUAAGAUGCCUGUUUAAAAUAGUUUCUUUUGAGUCAUGAUUAAACGUGAUGACAGAGCCCAAGUUCCUAAUUUCACUCUCCUACAGCAUUCCAAGGUUUGGGGCUGAGCAGCUGAAAUGAAGCCGUGCUGAUCAGACAGGCGGGAGGUGAAAUAGAUAGUAGAGCGUGGGCUGACCUAAGACAGGGGUCGGCAACCCAAAAUGUUGAAAGAGCUAUA